ensembl:lncRNA
GUGACCUUGAGCAAGUUACUUGACCUCUCUGUGCCUCAGUUUCCCUAUAAGUUUGCUGUGACGACUAAAUGAAUUACUGUAGUCCCCUAAUGCCUGGGAUAUGGCAGGCACAAGAUACAUCGAAUAAAGAAAGAAAAAAUCAAGAGGAAGGGUUCUCUGUGCCGAGACCAAAUUUGGGGCAGUCUGUGUGCGAACAGCCAACCCCAGUGUUUCUCCCACAGGAGAAGACUCAGUUCUUCAAAAGAAGAGGGAUCUCCUAAGCACUCGUGGAGAUGGUCCUCAGGGCCCAGCCAGAGUCACUGCUGCCAUGGUUGCUUCCCAGGGGCCUGGACAAGCAAGAGAAAAGUCUGAACCACAGAGGACAAGGAGGAAAUUCUGCAUAGGAAUAGAAAUUAACUCAAGGGCUGCCUGCCAUCAGCCAGGUGCCCAGAGAGACACCCCCUCCUCCCUUCCUUCCCCUGUGCUGAGAAGGCAUGCCCAGGUUUUGGACCCACCCUGGCCUCCUUAGAGUCCUCUAAGAGAGGCCCAGAGACGCACAGAUGUUGGUGUUGCCGCAGCAACUGACCUAACCUUCCUCUGUUUCUGCUCAGGUUCCUAAGAGGCACAAGGAGGAAAACGGGCAACCACUGGCUCCACGGCCCAGCCAAGGCACCCAUGGAAGCCCCUUGUGCCCUGCCUUCAGCUCCUCCGCAGGCCGGGCCAUGCAGUUCUCGUCCAUGCGCCCAGGUCUCCCAGGCCAACAUCACAGCAGGUUUUUUCGGACCCUAGAAGGUCCUUAUUCUGCAACUGAGGAGACAGAAGGCCAGACAGGGAAUGCCACUGGUCACCCAUGAAGCAGAGGGAGACAAAACAUACAUCCAGGCCCGUCUGGUCCGAAUCUAGCCUCUCGCCCCUCACCCCCAGCCUUCUGAUGACUUGCUCCCAAAAGAUACCAUUUUCUUUCCUUUUAAAACCCAUCUGAACACUGUCAAAGACAAGACAUUAAAAAAAAGAAACAUCGAGGGUGUCCCCAUUCCAUCCCGCUCAUUCAGUAAAGGAGUAAGGAUUCUUCUCUCGUGCAUACUCUCAGACAACACGGCAAGGCACAAAGGAAGGGUGAAGAAACUGAAAAAAGGUAAAGAAAUAAAAACGUCAAUCUAAUGAAAUGACAUGACUGACUAGAAGAAUACAAAAGAAUAAACAAAAAUAUAUUUUAAAAUAAAAAAAGAAGCCCAGAAUUACCAAAUAUCACAAAUAUCACAAAGAUAUCAUCUAAGAUGACAUGAAUUGGAAGUUCCUAAUUUUGAGAUUUCAGAAUGCUAAAAUUUCAAAAGAAAUGUGGGAUGCCAACCUGGGAUUGCCAACUGGUUUUUAAAAUAUGCUAAGUAAAGUCAUUUUAAAAACUAAAAAACAGGGGCUGGCCCCGUGGCCGAGUGGUUAAGUUCGCGCGCUCCGCUGCAGGCGGCCCAGUAUUUCGUUAGUUCGAAUCCUGGGCGCGGACAUGGCACUGCUCGUCAGACCACGCUGAGGCAGCGUCCCACAUGCCACAACUAGAAGAACCCACAACGAAGAAUACACAACUAUGUACCGGGGGGCUUUGGGGAGAAAAAGGAAAAAAUAAAAUCUUUAAAAAAAAAAAAAACUAAAACUAAAAAACAAAAUUAAAGAAAAAACUCUAAAACCGCCCCCAAUAUCUUAAAACAAAACAAAAAACCCAAAUUACUAUCUAUUGUGAUUCAAAAAGAAAUGACAGGGAAAUACUAAAGGUAGGAGGAUUUUGUAGCCUCCACAUCAAAAGGAGUCCCCUCACUGAAUAAAUUUAGCCUGAUCAGAAACCCACUACAGCAUCUUUAUCUUCCUCAUUUCACUGUGGGUUGGCACCUGGCAACACUGCCUCACUCAGCUCUCACCCUCGCGCAGGAAUCCCUUCCACAAAUGCUCCCGCGCCCUGUCCCGAGUGUUGGCUCAAGCAGGUCGCUGGCUGCCUCAUAAACCAACCAGUUCUAAAAGUAGCAGAACGUGAGAAAAAUGCACAAAAAUCAAUACCAUUCCUAUAAACACAUG